CCCCAGCGCCUCGCGGUUCUGCUCCGGGUUCUACCCGUCCACCAGCCUAUUAAUAGGCAACAUAUUUACUUUUUGCAGCAUGCACUCGCUGUGGCAUUCUCCAGUAUCUUACCCUACAACAGGAGCGAACAAGUGCAGUUCUACAAGAGGAAGUCACCGCUGCGGCAGAGGUGUUGUGGCGCCCAGGGGUGCCCGGCCCCCGUCUCCAUCUCCUACGGGUGGUCAUAUGUGGAUAUAUCUGGACCGUAUGCUAUAACAGACACCUGGGCCUAAAUUUAGUAACAGUGAAAAUGCAAUUGGUUCUGCAAAUACCAAGAAAUCUGCCAGCAUCAAAACCUGGAGGGAGAAGAGUCUAUUUAUGCCUCUGCUUUUGGCUGGCGC